UGGGUGGGGGGGCAGAAAGAGACCACCAAGGGUUCAGAGAACAAAGACCAGAUAUUUGGAGUGGGGGGUGGGGGGCCAAAAAGGGAAACUGGAGGAGCAAUUGGGGAUCCAGGUAUCAGAGGUAGGGGGACUUGGGGAGCAAGAGGAAAGCCAGGGCUGAAUGGGGGUUGGGGGACAAGAGCAGGUUGGGGCAGUAGUACUCCUCCCUCAUGGGAGGGUUACCCCUCUUCUUUCCUCCUGCCCAAAUUUGAGUUCCUUCCCUUUACUCUGACUCCUUGAACGUCACUGAAAAUGGCAGCUAUUGCGAGGAGUGGGGGCCACGGGUCUACCCUCUGUUCAACUCGUGGCCCAGGGGAGUGGUGAGGGGUGCCCCAGCCCCCUGCCUGCCUCUCCGCACAAUACUUGAACAUUCAUCUGUACUGAAGUGUUACUUGAACCGGGGGAACCUUGGACCUGGGGGAGCCGAAGUGUGAUUGGAUGGGACCAGCUUGGACUGAGACUGAACUGGUGGGCACCCAGAGUGGACUGCACCACCUCCAGAUAUCUCUGGCUUUACUGUCUUGAGCAGCUCUACCCCUCCUGACCCGAGUUGGGGGUGGUGGGUGCCAGCCCAAUGAUGGGGAAGAUGGGACUCCUCCAGCUUGGCUCUUCCCACUCUUUCAUCGUCAUGGAAACUUGUAUCCCAUUCGCCCAGGGAACUGCCACUCCUGGUUGCCAUGGAAAUAGCAGCCAAUGGACACCUCCCGAUGCCAGUGCUAAGGCUGGAAAUGGCCCCUCUCAGUUGCCAUGGGAACUUAGUAACAGACUCUUUUUGGUCCUCCUCUCCACUGCCCCUUCCUCCUGUGUUGGAGUGGGGUCUUGGGAGCCAGAGGGAGGAGCUGGGCCAGGUUCCGCCCCUCAGUCCAGGCCUCUGGGGGCAGCCGGGUUGUACUAUGUAGGGGAGGGGGAAAUCUAUCCACAUACCUCAGGUAACAGGGAGGUGCGCGGGUGGGGGGAGGGACUGG
rnacentral:lncRNA from 1 species